rnacentral:rRNA from 1 species
GACAGAGGUCCCGAGCGUUAGGCGGAAUCACUGGGCUUAAAGCGUGUGUAGGCGGAUCGUUAAGUGCUUUGUGAAAUCCCACGGCUUAACCGUGGAACUGCUUGGCAUACUGGCGAUCUUGAGCCACCUAGGGGCAACCGGAACAAACGGUGGAGCGGUGAAAUGCGUAGAUAUCGUUUGGAACGCCAAUGGUGAAAACAGGUUGCUGGGGGUGUGCCGACGCUGAGACACGAAAGCCAGGGGAGCGAACGGG